rnacentral:lncRNA from 1 species
UUUUUGGUUCUGCAUUUCAUUUGCAUCAUGACACAUUGCACCCAAGAAAUUUACUUGUCAUUCUUUUAGACCGUCUGUUUAUCUUGGAGUUGGCUGCUACCCAGUUGUAUUUAAUCUUGACAAACUUGUUUGCUUUGCAGGCUCCAAACAAGGACAGCAGCUGCAGUGUCAGAAAAUGCCAUAGUUCUAAUUUUUAAAUCGAGGGUGAGUCCCCUGUUUAUUUCUUUUAGUUUCUUUGCACUGGUUGUGCUUUUCUUUUCUUUUUUCUUUUUUUGAAUUGGUACUUUGUCAACUGCCCCGGAAUUAAACAUUUAGUUCACAAAAUGCUUUUGAUUUGUUUGUGAACGUAACCAUACAAAGUACCAAAAGCUGGGGCUAACUUAACUCUUUUGUGCAGGUCUUUUGCCAUUCAGUAUAGGUGGAUCUAUAAUUUUCUUGUCAUUAAUUUAUGUGUGUUUACAUUUGGUAAAGUCCAGUUAUAUUAGUAUUGAGAUUCAUUGCCUUUUUAGUACCUUUUAAGCUCAGUCAUGUCGGUAUUUCUUUUUGGCCUUAGAUUACAAGUUGUGAAAUAUUUGGCUGCCAAAUAUGAAGAGCUAGGGUGUGAAGUGAAAUGGAUGGGCAAGCCUGAUAAGGUGAUCUAGUCACAUUGGUCUGGUUACCGUUGUUAACUUCACUUCAUGUGAACCUUUAGCUUAAUACAUAUUUCUCUUGCACUUGACUACCAAGAUGAAUUUUGAGCAAGGCUACUUUUUGCUUUGAAGCAAAGUUUGGUGUAGAAAUUUUGUAGAUUGUUGCUCAUAUGUUUCUAGGCUAUCCUUUGUAGGUUUUGGGGUUUUCUUUUGUGACAUAUGUUCAAUCAUGAAUUUGGA